rnacentral:rRNA from 1 species
UAGGGAAUAUUGGACAAUGGGUGAGAGCCUGAUCCAGCCAUGCCGCGUGCAGGAAGAAGGCGUUAUGCGUUGUAAACUGCUUUUUGCCAGGGGAUAAAAUGACCGUGCGCGGUUAAUUGAAGGUACCUGGUGAAUAAGCCACGGCUAACUACGUGCCAGCAGCCGCGGUAAUACGUAGGUGGCAAGCGUUGUCCGGAUUUAUUGGGUUUAAAGGGUGCGUAGGUGGCCCUGUAAGUCAGUGGUGAAAUAUCUCAGCUUAACUGAGAGGGUGCCAUUGAUACUGCAGGGCUUGAGUACAGAUGAGGUAGGCGGAAUUGACGGUGUAGCGGUGAAAUGCAUAGAUAUCGUCAAGAACACCGAUAGCGAAGGCAGCUUACCAAGCUGUAACUGACACUGAGGCACGAAAGCAUGGGUAGCAAACAGGAUUAGAUACCCAUGUAGUCCCUG